ensembl:lncRNA
CUGUUUAUUUGUUUGUUUGUUUCUAGGAGAGCGUCAACCCAUUGAAAAGUGUUCAGCAUAGAGUGUACCCCUCUUUGCAACAGAAGAAGUAUUAGGAGAGAGGAGAAGAGAGACAGAUGUUGGAAUUACACAAGCUUCAGUCUGGAUCCAGAACACCUGAGAAGAGAUGAUACCAACACCUCAGAGAUGGCAAAACAACAUACAGAACAACCAAAUUUUGCUAUAAGUUUGAUUGCAUCAUAUGAUAAUUGCUGUUAAUAGUGUUCUUCGUCUGUUUGAUUAAGCCUUUAAUUGAUUUUCCAUACAUUUCUGCCAUAUGUACAUAAACUGACAGUCACCACUGAUAUGGUACUACUAAAUAUUGUAGAAACUUAAUUUUCUGUAAAGUUGCUUUGCAACGAUUUGUAUUGUAAAAAGCGCUAUACAAAUAAACUUGAACUGAAUUUAAUUGAAUUGAAUACAGUAACAGGAGCAAUUGCAUUUUUGGUCCAAUUGGAGGAGCUAUGUCUCAGCUGCCUUUGAGGGUGUGUUAAAAUUUCCACUAUGGCCUUAUUCACAAGGCACUUGACUGUCACCACACAAAAUUUCAAACAUUUUUUCUUUAAAAUUCUACAGUUAAAAUGUUUGAAAUUUUAAAUGGUAACAGUCGAUUCCUUUGGAAAUAAAGCCCCGUUAUAUAUAACUUUUAACGCAUCCUAAAAGCCAGCUGAGAUAUUGCAC